UUAAGCGACUAAGCGUACACGGUGGAUGCCCUGGCAGUCAGAGGCGAUGAAGGACGUGCUAAUCUGCGAAAAGCGCCGGCGAGGUGAUAUGAACCUUUGACCCGGCGAUGUCCGAAUGGGGAAACCCAGUGUGAUUCGUCACACUAUCGUUAACUGAAUACAUAGGUUAACGAGGCGAACCGGGGGAACUGAAACAUCUAAGUACCCCGAGGAAAAGAAAUCAACCGAGAUUCCCCCAGUAGCGGCGAGCGAACGGGGAGCAGCCCGGAGUCUGAAUCAGCUUGUGUGUUAGUGGAACGGUCUGGAAAGUCCGACGGUACAGGGUGAUAGUCCCGUACACGAAAAUGCACAGGUUGUGAACUCGAAGAGUAGGGCGGGACACGUGGUAUCCUGUCUGAAUAUGGGGGGACCAUCCUCCAAGGCUAAAUACUCCUGACUGACCGAUAGUGAACCAGUACCGUGAGGGAAAGGCGAAAAGAACCCCGGCGAGGGGAGUGAAAAAGAACCUGAAACCGUGUACGUACAAGCAGUGGGAGCCUACUUGUUAGGUGACUGCGUACCUUUUGUAUAAUGGGUCAGCGACUUAUAUUCUGUAGCAAGGUUAACCGAAUAGGGGAGCCGAAGGGAAACCGAGUCUUAACUGGGCGUUAAGUUGCAGGGUAUAGACCCGAAACCCGGUGAUCUAGCCAUGGGCAGGUUGAAGGUUGGGUAACACUAACUGGAGGACCGAACCGACUAAUGUUGAAAAAUUAGCGGAUGACCUGUGGCUGGGGGUGAAAGGCCAAUCAAACCGGGAGAUAGCUGGUUCUCCCCGAAAGCUAUUUAGGUAGCGCCUCGUGAACUCAUCUUCGGGGGUAGAGCACUGUUUCGGCUAGGGGGCCAUCCCGGCUUACCAACCCGAUGCAAACUACGAAUACCGAAGAAUGUUAUCACGGGAGACACACGGCGGGUGCUAACGUCCGUCGUGAAGAGGGAAACAACCCAGACCGCCAGCUAAGGUCCCAAAGUCAUGGUUAAGUGGGAAACGAUGUGGGAAGGCACAGACAGCCAGGAUGUUGGCUUAGAAGCAGCCAUCAUUUAAAGAAAGCGUAAUAGCUCACUGGUCGAGUCGGCCUGCGCGGAAGAUGUAACGGGGCUAAACCAUGCACCGAAGCUGCGGCAGCGACGCUUAUGCGUUGUUGGGUAGGGGAGCGUUCUGUAAGCCGUUGAAGGUGGCCUGUGAGGGUUGCUGGAGGUAUCAGAAGUGCGAAUGCUGACAUAAGUAACGAUAAAGCGGGUGAAAAGCCCGCUCGCCGGAAGACCAAGGGUUCCUGUCCAACGUUAAUCGGGGCAGGGUGAGUCGACCCCUAAGGCGAGGCCGAAAGGCGUAGUCGAUGGGAAACAGGUUAAUAUUCCUGUACUUGGUGUUACUGCGAAGGGGGGACGGAGAAGGCUAUGUUAGCCGGGCGACGGUUGUCCCGGUUUAAGCAUGUAGGCGGAGGUUCCAGGUAAAUCCGGUACCUUUUAACGCUGAGGUGUGAUGACGAGGCACUACGGUGCUGAAGUAACAAAUGCCCUGCUUCCAGGAAAAGCCUCUAAGCAUCAGGUAACACGAAAUCGUACCCCAAACCGACACAGGUGGUCAGGUAGAGAAUACCAAGGCGCUUGAGAGAACUCGGGUGAAGGAACUAGGCAAAAUGGUGCCGUAACUUCGGGAGAAGGCACGCUGAUAUGUAGGUGAAGCCCCUGCGGGUGGAGCUGAAAUCAGUCGAAGAUACCAGCUGGCUGCAACUGUUUAUUAAAAACACAGCACUGUGCAAACACGAAAGUGGACGUAUACGGUGUGACGCCUGCCCGGUGCCGGAAGGUUAAUUGAUGGGGUUAGCGGUAACGCGAAGCUCUUGAUCGAAGCCCCGGUAAACGGCGGCCGUAACUAUAACGGUCCUAAGGUAGCGAAAUUCCUUGUCGGGUAAGUUCCGACCUGCACGAAUGGCGUAAUGAUGGCCAGGCUGUCUCCACCCGAGACUCAGUGAAAUUGAACUCGCUGUGAAGAUGCAGUGUACCCGCGGCAAGACGGAAAGACCCCGUGAACCUUUACUAUAGCUUGACACUGAACACUGGUCCUUGAUGUGUAGGAUAGGUGGGAGGCUUUGAAGCGUGGACGCCAGUCUGCGUGGAGCCGACCUUGAAAUACCACCCUUUAAUGGCUGGUGUUCUAACGUAGACCCGUAAUCCGGGUUGCGGACAGUGUCUGGUGGGUAGUUUGACUGGGGCGGUCUCCUCCCAAAGAGUAACGGAGGAGCACGAAGGUUAGCUAAUCCUGGUCGGACAUCAGGAGGUUAGUGCAAUGGCAUAAGCUAGCUUGACUGCGAGAGUGACGGCUCGAGCAGGUGCGAAAGCAGGUCAUAGUGAUCCGGUGGUUCUGAAUGGAAGGGCCAUCGCUCAACGGAUAAAAGGUACUCCGGGGAUAACAGGCUGAUACCGCCCAAGAGUUCAUAUCGACGGCGGUGUUUGGCACCUCGAUGUCGGCUCAUCACAUCCUGGGGCUGAAGUAGGUCCCAAGGGUAUGGCUGUUCGCCAUUUAAAGUGGUACGCGAGCUGGGUUUAGAACGUCGUGAGACAGUUCGGUCCCUAUCUGCCGUGGGCGCUGGAGAAUUGAGGGGGGCUGCUCCUAGUACGAGAGGACCGGAGUGGACGCAUCACUGGUGUUCGGGUUGUCAUGCCAAUGGCACUGCCCGGUAGCUAAAUGCGGAAGAGAUAAGUGCUGAAAGCAUCUAAGCACGAAACUUGCCCCGAGAUGAGUUCUCCCUGAGACUAUAAGUCUCCUGAAGGAACGUUGAAGACGACGACGUUGAUAGGUCGGGUGUGUAAGCGCAGCGAUGCGUUGAGCUAACCGAUACUAAUGAACCGUGAGGCUUAACCUU
rnacentral:rRNA from 1 species